GUCUGGCUGGCUCAGUUGGUAGAGUAUGUGACUCCUGAUCUCAGGGUCAUGAGUUCAAGCCCCAUGUUGGGUG
rfam:Ailuropoda melanoleuca scaffold74_89, whole genome shotgun sequence.